UACGGGGGGGGUAAGCGUUGUUCGGAAUUACUGGGCGUAAAGGGCUCGUAGGUGGCCAACUAAGUCAGACGUGAAAUCCCUCGGCUUAACCGGGGAACUGCGUCUGAUACUGGAUGGCUUGAGUUUGGGAGAGGAAUGCGGAAUUCCAGGUGUAGCGGUGAAAUGCGUAGAUAUCUGGAGGAACACCGGUGGCGAAGGCGGCAUUCUGGACCAAUACUGACGCUGAGGAGCGAAAGCCAGGGGAGCAAACGGG
rnacentral:rRNA from 1 species